GAAAUCCCACCUGUCCUUCUGGCUACAGAGCACUUACUUACCAAGCCCAUGAAAUCGAAUGCAGAUCUUCCUGAUGUGAGAUUUACAUAAAUAUGUCAAAGUCUCAACCUCAUGCUGC